AUAAAGUUUAAUUUUAGUUUAAUAAUUUAUUUAAUUUUUUUUUUACAUGUAAAUUUUAGUGGGAAUAUAAUAAUAAUUUUAAUAAUUAUUAUUAAAAAAUUUUAUUCGCAGUAUAAAGAUUUAUUAAUUUAAGAAAUUAAGAAUUAUAAAUAAAUUUAUAUAUUAACAAAAUUUGUGCCAGCAGUUGCGGUUAUACAAAAAAUAUAAAUAAAUUUUAUUAGUAAAUAAUUAAAUGAAUUUAAUUUAAUAAAAAUAAAAUUUAUAAAGUGAAAUUUAAAAUUUUUAAUAAUUAUAAUUAAAGUUAUUGAUAUUAUGAAAUUUAUGAUUUAAACUAGGAUUAGAUACCCUAUUAUUAUAAAUGUUAAWUUUUACUAAAGUAGUAUUAGUUAUGAUCUUGAAAUUUAAAAAUUUUGGCGGUAUUUUAGUCUAUUCAGAGGAACCUGUUCUAUAAUUGAUAAUCCACGAUAAAUUAUACUUUAUUUAAUAGUUUAUAUAUCGUCGUUAUUAAAUAUUUUAWWAGAAUUAUAAUAUUUAAGAUUUUUAAUUAAAAAAUAUAUCAGAUCAAGGUGUAGUUUAUAAUAAAGAAGAAAUGGGUUACAAUAAAUUUAUUUAUGGAUUUUUAUAUAAAAAUAUAGAAUGAAAUUGGAUUUGAUAGUAAUAAAUUUUAUAUUUAAUUUAUGAUUAAAGCUCUAAAAUGUGUACAUAUCGCCCGUCACUCUUAUUAUAAGAUAAGAUAAGUCGUAACAUAGUAGAUGUACUGGAAAGUGUAUCUAGAAUGA
rnacentral:ncRNA from 1 species